rnacentral:rRNA from 1 species
ACUACGGGUGGCAGCAGUGGGGAAUAUUGCACAAUGGGGGAAACCCUGAUGCAGCAACGCCGCGUGAGUGAUGAAGUAUUUCGGUUUGUAAACCCCUAUCAGCAGGGAAGAAGAAAGACGGUACCUGACUAAGAAGCCCCGGCUAAAUACGUGCCAGCAGCGGCGGUAAUACGGAGGGGGCAAGCUUUAUCCGGAUUUACUGGGUGGAAAGGGAGCGUAGACGGGUGUGCAAGUCUGAAGUGAAAGCCCGUGGCUCAACCGCGGAACUGCUUUGGAAACUGUAUAGCUAGAGUACUGGAGAGGCAGGCGGAAUUCUUGGUGUAGGGGUAAAAUGCGUAGAGAUUAAGAGGAACACUAGUGGCGAAGGCGACCUGCUAGACAGAAACUGACGUUGAGGCGCGAAAGCGUGGGGAGCAAACAGGAUUAGAUACCCUAGUAGUC